UAACGACUCUCGGCAACGGAUAUCUCGGCUCUCGCAUCGAUGAAGAACGUAGCGAAAUGCGAUACUUGGUGUGAAUUGCAGAAUCCCGUGAACCAUCGAGUCUUUGAACGCAAGUUGCGCCCGAAGCCUCGGCUGAGAGCACGCCUGCCUGGGUGUCACACGU
rnacentral:rRNA from 1 species